GCACAUGGGUUAGUCGAUCCU
rnacentral:sRNA from 1 species